CGACCAUUGAGCUUGUCGCUGUCGGAGUGCUGCACUACUAUUGGUGUUUUCAGCGAACGUGUUCGAUUGGUUUUUGUCUCUUAUCUUCUACGGACAGCAGUGCCGGCACAAACACUUGCCGUGUGUGUGUGUGUGCGUGCUCAUCGGUCAUGCUGAGUACGGAUUGCGUGAUCCGACGCAGAGAUGUGUUCUGUGUAUAUGAGUGUGUCCGUGGCUGCUGGUGGCGCCAGCUCACCUUCUUCCCACAUGUUCUCACGCCCUCGCGCACACGUAUAUACAUAUAUGUAUCGGCUUUGGGUGACUCUACACAUCUGCCUAAACGGUGAGCGGCAAAACAAUGGGCAGUAGCUCAACGCAGGAUACCCUGACAUGCCACACAUCUCCUGCGAGUCUAGAGCGUGCCGCGACGCGUGAAAAUUGGCUUUGCGCAAGGAUUCGUCAAAGCGGAACAUGAAGACGUGCGCGCACAUCAAGGGAGGACGUCGAGGCCGGGCCAAGGCCCACUCAGGCUUGUGUGCGCGGGGGCCGUAUGAAGGCAAAGGGAUAGGAUUUGGUACCCCCUGCCUCCCUCCAUGUGCGCCUUUGCGCAGGCAAUAAAUGCUCGGCGAAAGCGGUGAGGCGUUGUUGUCCCUCUCAGUACUAAUCGCACGCCACAGCAGUUUCCAUUGAAUAUGUACAUAUCGAUAUAUAUGUACAUGUACAACGCCCCCUUUGCCGUAUAUAAAUAUAUAUAUAUAUAUGUACAUGUAGUUUCUGUAUAAGUGUUCCUGUGUAUAUAUUAUAUAUAUAUAUAUAUGUGUGUGUGUGUGUGUCUGUAUGUGGUGAGUGUUAUUCUUAGCCUUUUCUCGUCCCACCCUCCCCCCAUUCUUUUUUUCCCCGCUUCUCUACGUAUCUUUAUCUCGAAUACGCCCAAUAAGUUGGAACGGUCCUGCUAAUGCAUCCCGUGUUCCUCCCCCACCUCCAAUACGCAGACACAUACUCAUCCUCUUAUCUUGUCGUUGUUUCUUCAGUCGCAGGGAGCUGAGUGAUGAUCAUGCGCAAAGACGAGUUCUCUUGUUGAUUCCUUGUGUUGUCCUUGCACGACGCGGCACGGCAUUUGUAGGUGAGUGUUAUGCGUUGACCUGGUGACGCCCACACGCUUCCGUAAAGUCCUUCACCCCCCCGUCGUGUGGUUCACGUUGUAUGCUACCUUCUCAUUGAUUCUUUAUCAUUCAGUGUAGCUUCAUUCUCUUUGAGUGUCAUUUGUAUCUUCCUCUGCACUGCGCCGCAGUUCACGUGCCACGAUGCGGCUUGUCCGUUCUACCUUCUUUUUCUUUUUUUUUUUGUUAGGCAGCAUGCAUACCGACAACUCACCUCUCUCCCCUCGGUGGUUUGGAGCGGAUGGCACUGUCUAUACGGACUGCGCAACAAGAGGACUCCCACUAAUAUGUGUACGCACACUCGCGACGGUGCAACAUGUUUCACGGCCCGUCUUUCAAGCAACGUAAUGGCUGCGCGUGCUCUCAG
rnacentral:misc_RNA from 1 species